rnacentral:tRNA from 1 species
GGCCCCAUCAUCUAGCGGUCAAGGAAUCCUGACUUUCGAUCAGGAGACCCGGGUUCGAAUCCCGGUGGGGCCA